rnacentral:rRNA from 1 species
UACGUAGGGUGCAAGCGUUGUCCGGAAUUAUUGGGCGUAAAGAGCUCGUAGGCGGUUUGUCGCGUCGAAUGUGAAACCCGGGGCUCAACCCCGGGCCUGCAUUCGAUACGGGCAGACUAGAGUUCGGUAGGGGAGUCUGGAAUUCCUGGUGUAGCGGUGAAAUGCGCAGAUAUCAGGAGGAACACCGGUGGCGAAGGCGGGACUCUGGGCCGAUACUGACGCUGAGGAGCGAAAGCGUGGGGAGCAGACAGG